AGAAAGUAAAUACUAUGGACAAAAUAGACAAAAGAAUAGCAAAGAUAAAUUCAGGUUGUGUAAAUAAUAAAAUCCCAGAAAACAUUACUAGUAAAAAGGAUGCACACACAUCAGAAACGAAAAAAAAAUUACACAAAUGUCAACAAAGGCAAUGUUAAAGACAACUAAUAAUAAAUCUAAUGUGUCAAAAGAAAAAGAUUUAAAAAUUAUGAUGGAAAAAAAGACGAUAAAGGAAAUACAUGAUCAGGUUGAAACUUUAAAGAAACAGGUAAUAUAUGUAUACAAAGAAAGAGAGAGAGAAAGAGAGAGAGAGAGAGAUACAUGUCUUUAUCAUUAUUCAUGACUCAUGACUUUAUCAUUAUUACUGCGAAAUUGUAUUAUUGAC
rnacentral:lncRNA from 13 species